AUGCACGCUGGCGGCGUGCCUCAUCCCUGCAAGUCGAGCGAACAGACGAGGAGCUUGCUCCUCUGACGUUAGCGGCGGACGGGUGAGUAACACGUGGAUAACCUACCUAUAAGACUGGGAUAACUUCGGGAAACCGGAGCUAAUACCGGAUAAUAUAUUGAACCGCAUGGUUCAAUAGUGAGAGACGGUUUUGCUGUCACUUAUAGGUGGAUCCGCGCCGCAUUAGCUAGUUGGUAAGGUAACGGCUUACCAAGGCGACGAUGCGUAGCCGACCUGAGAGGGUGAUCGGCCACACUGGAACUGAGACACGGUCCAGACUCCUACGGGAGGCAGCAGUAGGGAAUCUUCCGCAAUGGGCGAAAGCCUGACGGAGCAACGCCGCGUGAGUGAUGAAGGUCUUCGGAUCGUAAAACUCUGUUAUUAGGGAAGAACAAAUGUGUAAGUAACUAUGCACGUCUUGACGGUACCUAAUCAGAAAGCCACGGCUAACUACGUG
rnacentral:rRNA from 1 species